UUGAACGCUGGCGGCAGGCCUAACACAUGCAAGUCGAGCGGAUGAAGGGAGCUUGCUCCUGGAUUCAGCGGCGGACGGGUGAGUAAUGCCUAGGAAUCUGCCUGGUAGUGGGGGAUAACGUCCGGAAACGGGCGCUAAUACCGCAUACGUCCUGAGGGAGAAAGUGGGGGAUCUUCGGACCUCACGCUAUCAGAUGAGUCUAGGUCGGAUUAGCUAGUUGGUGGGGUAAAGGCCUACCAAGGCGACGAUCCGUAACUG
rnacentral:rRNA from 1 species